GUGGGGAAUAUUGGACAAUGGGCGAAAGCCUGAUCCAGCCAUGCCGCGUGUGUGAAGAAGGUCUUCGGAUUGUAAAGCACUUUAAGUUGGGAGGAAUGGCAGUAAGUUAAUACCUUGCUGUUUUGACGUUACCAACAGAAUAAGCACCGGCUAACUUCGUGCCAGCAGCCGCGGUAAUACGAAGGGUGCAAGCGUUAAUCGGAAUUACUGGGCGUAAAGCGCGCGUAGGUGGUUCAGCAAGUUGGAGGUGAAAUCCCCGGGCUCAACCUGGGAACUGCCUCCAAAACUACUGAGCUAGAGUACGGUAGAGGGUAGUGGAAUUUCCUGUGUAGCGGUGAAAUGCGUAGAUAUAGGAAGGAACACCAGUGGCGAAGGCGACUACCUGGACUGAUACUGACACUGAGGUGCGAAAGCGUGGGGAGCAAACAGGAUUAGAAACCCCUGUAGUCC
rnacentral:rRNA from 1 species